UAGAGCGUUGGAACCACCUGAUCCCAUCCCGAACUCAGAAGUGAAACGAUGCAUCGCCGAUGGUAGUGUGGGGUUUCCCCAUGUGAGAGUAGGUCAUCGUCAAGA
rnacentral:rRNA from 1 species